UCCCUGAUGGCCUAAUGGUUAGGAUACAGUGCUUUCAAUGCUGUGGCUCAGGUUCAAUCCCUGGUCUGGGAA
rnacentral:tRNA from 1 species